rnacentral:rRNA from 1 species
UAAAAGUUUAUGCCCAAAGGUAGCAUAAUCUUAGUUUUUUAAUGAAGGCUGAAGAAUGGUCAAAUCCUUAAAUAUAUUGAAUUUACUUUUAAGUGAAAAGGCUUAAAUAAUCGAAGGGCGUAAGCUAAAACAUUUUAAGAUAGUAGUUAAUUUUAUUUAAAAGUAUUUUUUGGAGUAUUUGGUUGGGGUGCAAGGAUAAAAUAAAAAAUAACUGUCUUUUUUUUUUACAGUAAUGUUUGGUUUAAUGAUCCUAAAAGGGAUUAAAGAUUAAGUUACUUUAGGGAUAACAGCGUAAUUUUCUUUAAGAGUUCUUAUCGCAAGAAAGUUUGCGACCUCGAUGUUGAAUUAAAAGUUCUUUAUAGAGUAGAGACUAUAAUAG